AUAAAACGUUUCAACUUUUAAGACACUAAUUUAACUCUCAGCACUGCAUUCCAACUAUUCAAUUUCAAGUAUUUAAUACGAAUUUUCUUGUAGGUUCUAUAGUUCAAUGGAAUGUAUCUCGAUCAUAUGAUUGUAAUAAAAAUGUGUCUUUUUUCAGAACAGAUAACUAUACAUUUAAAAUAUCUUAGUGCCAAGUUGCAGAAGCAAACAGAGCUCCUUUGUGCCCAAAUGGUAAAGAGUAAUUAAUUAUGAAACGAAUAUUGCCUUAAUACAUGGUUACCCAUUGAAUAGGCUGUGUGUACUAUGUUCUACAAUUACCUACUGCACUUAUGUACCGAAUACCAGUUAUCUAUUACUCUGAUAAGGAUGUAGCAUAUGUAAAUUAUUUUCGAGCGUAAUACUCGUAGUACCUACUUUUUAAUUAUCAUGUUUAUAUUACCAUAUAGCUAAAGGUCUUCCUGAAGGAAGUAGAAAUAGUUGACAAGAUUAAAAUUUAUGGGCAUUAAGCAUUAGCUUUUCCUCUGUUCAGAGUUAAUUGGCAGUCAGUAUUACAUUUUGUUACGUUUAAUUAUUGUUAAUAUAGAUCAAAAUGUGAAGGUAGUUUUAAAAGUUUAGUUAGAUUUUCGUUGUUCACUUUUUGGUGUCGUAAAUUUAGGUAAUCAUAGAUUAUCCAUUGAGGAGAUGGAUUAGAAGAAAGCCAUAGUCAAAAAUAAUAGUUCAGAGUUUCAUGAUUCACUAUACAAACUAUCAAUGCUCUUAUUUAUAUAUUGAGACAGAAAAAAAAAUAGUAAACAUUAAAUUUUCAUAGCACAUCUUAUAUGCUAUUCAAUCCUAUCGUUGAACGAAAUUUAAA